rnacentral:rRNA from 1 species
UAAAGAGCCGCGGUAUUUUGACCGUGCAAAGGUAGCAUAAUCAUUAGUCUUUUAAUUAAAGGCUGGAAUGAAUGGUUUGACGAGAAAUUAACUGUCUCUUAAUAAAUUUUAGAAUUUAACUUUUAAGUUAAAAGGCUUAAAUUUUUCUUUAGGACGAGAAGACCCUAUAGAGCUUGACAUUUUAAUUAUAUAUUUUUUUAAGAUAGUUUUUUUAUAUUUAAUGGUGAUGUUUUGUUGGGGUGACAUGAAGAAUUAAUAAACUCUUCAUUAUUAAACCAUUAAUUUAUGUUUAUUUUGAUCCAUAAUUUAUGAUCAUAAGAUUAAGUUACCUUAGGGAUAACAGCGUAAUUGUUUUUGAGAGCUCAUAUUGACAAAGAGAUUGCGACCUCGAUGUUGGAUUAAGAUAAAUUUUGGGUGGAGGA